rnacentral:tmRNA from 1 species
GGGGCUGAUUCUGGAUUCGACGGGAUUUGCGAAACCCAAGGUGCAUGCCGAGGGGCGGUUGGCCUCGUAAAAAGCCGCAAAAAAUAGUCGCAAACGACGAAAACUACGCUUUAGCAGCUUAAUAACCUGCUUAGAGCCCUCUCUCCCUAGCCUCCGCUCUUAGGACGGGGAUCAAGAGAGGUCAAACCGAAAAGAGAUCGCGUGGAAGCCCUGCCUGGGGUUGAAGCGUUAAAACUUAAUCAGGCUAGUUUGUUAGUGGCGUGUCCGUCCGCAGCUGGCAAGCGAAUGUAAAGACUGACUAAGCAUGUAGUACCGAGGAUGUAGGAAUUUCGGACGCGGGUUCAACUCCCGCCAGCUCCACCA